AUGGGGGAACAAACAGCAAACCUCACUGCCCUGAUGGAGAAGCUCUUGUCCAGAUUCGAUGAAGAGCAAGCUCUGGCGACCAAACGCGCGGAGGCACAGGCCACGUUCAACACGCACGUCUCCACCGAGCUGCAGAGCCUAUCCAAGCAGAUCGGGCUCACGCAGGCCGACGUGGAUGACGUGCGCAAGGCGACUUCUCUGACGGCUUCCUCCGCCAUGGCAUUGGCGUCGCAGGUGGACGACCCCUCCGCGGCAGGUUCCCGCACGCCGGCAGCCACCAACGGCAUCCAGCAGCCUGUGCCCCCUCCAGCUCCACCCGCCCAGCGCACGGCACCUCCUCAGAGUGCCCUGCCUAUUCCGCAAGCUUUUGGGAGCACGGCAGCCAUCACCCGACUCGCCAACGAAGGGCCUCCCCUGCUCACGAGGCCAGAUGCGCAGUUCAACUUGCAGCUGCCCAGCACACCAAUGCCGCGGGAUGAGUACUCAGUCCGGCCACCCAAACACCACUUCCCCCGCUUCGAUGGUGAUGCGCCCCGCGUCUGGCUGGAUUGCUGCCUAGCAUACUUCGAGUUGUAUAGGGUGCCGCCGCACAACUGGGUCGCGACGGCGGCGCUCUAUGUCAAAGGGCACGCAGCACUGUGGCUUAGAGCCUUCCGUCAGACACAUUCAGAUAUUACUUGGGAGAUGUUCCGGCGUGCAGUGGUGGAGGAGUUUGGCCCAGAGGAAUUCGAGUCAACGAUGCACAAUCUUCUUCAGCUUCGUCAGACAGGAACAGUGGUUGAAUACAGACAACAGUUUGAGGUUCACAUGUAUAAUCUGAUUGCCCUCGACUCGACCCUGAGCUCCAAAUUUUUCGUCACCCAAUUCUUGCUUGGCCUGAAGGAUGACAUGCGCGCCGCCGUGCGUAUUCAGGCACCCACCAGCAUCACCAGGGCGACAGUGUUUGCCAGGAUUCAGGAAGAGGAAUUGGAACUUCAGCGUUCCAGAUUCAGACCGCCAUUUGCAGGCAGACCACCACCAUUGUCGGGCAUAGUACCACCACUAGGACGGCCACCUCCUGCACCAUCAGCGCCCUCUCCGACCGCUCCAGCACCGUGGAUCGCCCUAGCACCAAAGCCAGCCGCGGACGACUUCGGGCGUGAGCGGCAGUUGCGGGAUUACAGACGCCAACACGGCCUCUGCUUUCGUUGCGGGGACAAAUACUCCCGUGAUCAUCAAUGCAAACGCUCUGCUCAGCUACUGACGAUUGAAGUGGGCGAUUUUGGAGAAGUACUCUCUGAUGAUGCAGUGCAUGCCCUGGAACUAUUGGAUGAACCUGCAACCAUCGAUGCUACUUGCUGUCUCCUAUCAGCUCAAGCCGUGGAGGGCACCAAAGCACCAGAAACUAUUCGACUGCGUGCCACAGUGGGUGAUCAAACUAUGUUGCUGCUCGUCGACUCCGGCAGUACGCACAGUUUUGUGAACUCCACAUUUGCUCAGCACAUCAAAGCUCCAACAACAGAUAUUCCAGCAAUCAAGGUUCGAGUCGCCAACGGACAGAGCCUGAACUGCACGGCUAUGGUGCCUCAGCUAGCCUGGACCUCCCACAGACAUACCUUUGCCACAGACAUGCGCGUCCUCGAUUUAGGAGGCUACGAUGCAGUGCUCGGUGUGGAUUGGCUGGGACAGCACAGCCUAAUGCAGUGUGACUGGAACCUGAAGACCAUGCAAUUUGAUCGUCAGGGAGAAACAAUUAAGCUGAUAGGUGUGCGCACUGGUGAUCAACAUCAACUCACAGCCCUAGAUGCUGCAACCUUAUGGCAAAUGCAUGACGCUAACGACAUAUGGGGGGCAGCUUUAGUGGAGAUUCAGCUAACAUCUGAGACGACAUCCGACUCUGACACGCCUGCUCCGCCUACCAUUCAGCGCAUCCUGACGGAGUUCAGUGACAUCUUCGAGGAACCAACCCAACUUCCUCCCCAUCGACAGUACAUUCACGCCAUUAAUCUGGAGCCAGGUGCAGCACCUGUCAACUGUCGACCCUACCGGUACUCUCCGUUACAGAAAGACGAGAUUGAACGUCAAGUGGAAGAAAUGCUUCGCACGAGCAUCAUUACACACAACAUGAGCCCCUUCGCAACCCCGGUGCUCCUGGUCAAGAAGAAGGACGGAACAUGGCGUUUCUGUGUGGACUAUCGACGUCUCAAUACCGUCACAAUCAAGAACAAGUUUCCUCUUCCUGUCAUCGACAAACUCUUGGAUGAACUCUCUGGUGCCGCCUUCUUCUCCAAAAUUGACUUGCGAGCGGGGUACCAUCAGAUUCGCAUGCGUGCGGGCGAUGAGGAAAAGACGGCCUUCAAGACACAUCAUGGUCAUUUUGAGUUCCGCGUCAUGCCCUUCGGCGUCACCAACGGCCCGCCCACAUUCCAAUGUGUGAUGAACUCGGCGUUCGCCGGGCCAAAUCGUAAGUUUGUGAUCACUUUUCUUGAUGACAUUCUCGUCUUCAGUCACACCUUGCAGGAGCAUGAAGCUCAUCUACGCACAGUCUUCUCCAUCCUCCGUGAGCAUUAG
rnacentral:rRNA from 1 species